GGUCGCAUAGCUCAGUUGGUAGAGCACUACCCCGACACGGUAGGGGUCGCUGGUUCGAGUCCAGCUGCGACCA
rnacentral:tRNA from 2 species